AAACUUGUGCUAAUACCGGAUAAGUCUUUACGGAGAAAGCUUUAUGCACCAUUGGAUGAGCCCGCACUUGAUUAGUUUGUUGGUAGGGUAAUGGCCUACCAAGACUAUGAUCAAUAGAUGAUUUGAGAGGAUGAUCAUCCACAUUGGGACUGAGACACGGCCCAAACUCCUACGGGAGGCAGCAGUGGGGAAUCUUGCACAAUGGAGGAAACU
rnacentral:rRNA from 1 species